rnacentral:ncRNA from 1 species
CAAUGUAGGUAAGGGAAGUCGGCAAGUUCGAUCGUAACUUCGAGAGAAAGAUUGGCUGUGAGGACUGGGCCCGUCGGGCUGGGGUCCAAAGCGGGUGUGGCACUGCACUGGGACUGGGCGAGACCCCCGUGAAAGGGGUCCGAUCCGGCCCAGACCAGCGUUAGGGCCUUCCCGUGGAAUGCCUCACUUGCGCGGUGCAUCGGGCACAAAGCUCGGAGCGACCGUUUAGGCGGGCAACUAACAGCCGACUCAGAACUGGCACUGACUUAGGGAAUCCGACUAAGUGGGUUAUUAGAUAAUAAUACAGAGUGUUUAUAAAGUCCCGGACCCAUUUUGAUGUUUAAUAAUUCAUAAAAUAAUAAAAAUAGAUUAAAAUUAAUGACAUAAAUGGUUAGAUAGAAUCAAUAAGUUUCAUGACCCUUGUCAAUGA